rnacentral:rRNA from 1 species
CAGCAGCCGCGGUAAGACAGAGGAUGCAAGCGUUAUCCGGAAUGAUUGGGCGUAAAGCGUCUGUAGGUGGCUUUUCAAGUCCGCCGUCAAACCCCAGGGCUCAACCCUGGACAGGCGGUGGAAACUACCAAGCUGGAGUACGGUAGGGGCAGAGGGAAUUUCCAGUGGAGCGGUGAAAUGCGUUGAGAUCGAAAAGAACACCAACAGCGAAAGCACUCUGCUGGGACGACACUGACACUAAGAGACGAAAGCUAGGGGAGCAAAUGGGAUUAGAUACCCCUGUAGUCCCUGUCUCUUAUAA